UUAAGUUAGAAAGGGCGCACGGUGGAUGCCUUGGCACUAGGAGCCGAUGAAGGACGGGACGAACACCGAUAUGCUUCGGGGAGCUGUAAGCAAGCUUUGAUCCGGAGAUUUCCGAAUGGGGAAACCCACCACUCGUAAUGGAGUGGUAUCCAUAUCUGAAUACAUAGGAUAUGAGAAGGCAGACCCGGGGAACUGAAACAUCUAAGUACCCGGAGGAAGAGAAAGCAAAUGCGAUUCCCUGAGUAGCGGCGAGCGAAACGGGACCAGCCCAAACCAAGAGACUUGCCUCUUGGGGUUGUAGGACACUCUGUACGGAGUUACAAAGGAACGAGGUAGAUGAAGAGGUCUGGAAAGGCCCGCCAUAGGAGGUAACAGCCCUGUAGUCAAAACUUCGUUCUCUCCUGAGUGGAUCCUGAGUACGGCGGAACACGUGAAAUUCCGUCGGAAUCCGGGAGGACCAUCUCCCAAGGCUAAAUACUCCCUAGUGACCGAUAGUGAACCAGUACCGUGAGGGAAAGGUGAAAAGCACCCCGGAAGGGGAGUGAAAGAGAUCCUGAAACCGUGUGCCUACAAGUAGUCAGAGCCCGUUAACGGGUGAUGGCGUGCCUUUUGUAGAAUGAACCGGCGAGUUACGAUCCCGUGCAAGGUUAAGCAGAAGAUGCGGAGCCGCAGCGAAAGCGAGUCUGAAUAGGGCGAAUUGAGUACGUGGUCGUAGACCCGAAACCAGGUGAUCUACCCAUGUCCAGGGUGAAGUUCAGGUAACACUGAAUGGAGGCCCGAACCCACGCACGUUGAAAAGUGCGGGGAUGAGGUGUGGGUAGGGGUGAAAUGCCAAUCGAACCUGGAGAUAGCUGGUUCUCUCCGAAAUAGCUUUAGGGCUAGCCUCAAGGUAAGAGUCUCGGAGGUAGAGCACUGAUUGGACUAGGGGCCCCUACCGGGUUACCGAAUUCAGUCAAACUCCGAAUGCCGAUGACUUAUCCUUGGGAGUCAGACUGCGAGUGAUAAGAUCCGUAGUCGAAAGGGAAACAGCCCAGACCGCCAGCUAAGGUCCCAAAGUAUACGUUAAGUGGAAAAGGAUGUGGAGUUGCUUAGACAACCAGGAUGUUGGCUUAGAAGCAGCCACCAUUUAAAGAGUGCGUAAUAGCUCACUGGUCGAGUGACUCUGCGCCGAAAAUGUACCGGGGCUAAACGUAUCACCGAAGCUGCGGACUGUUCUUCGAACAGUGGUAGGAGAGCGUUCUAAGGGCUGUGAAGCAAGACCGGAAGGACUUGUGGAGCGCUUAGAAGUGAGAAUGCCGGUAUGAGUAGCGAAAGAGGGGUGAGAAUCCCCUCCACCGAAUGCCUAAGGUUUCCUGAGGAAGGCUCGUCCGCUCAGGGUUAGUCGGGACCUAAGCCGAGGCCGAAAGGCGUAGGCGAUGGAUAACAGGUUGAUAUUCCUGUACCACCUCCUCACCAUUUGAGCAAUGGGGGGACGCAGGAGGAUAGGGUAAGCGCGGUAUUGGAUAUCCGCGUCCAAGCAGUUAGGCUGGGAAAUAGGCAAAUCCGUUUCCCGUGAAGGCUGAGCUGUGAUGGCGAGCGAAUUAUAGUAGCGAAGUUCCUGAUUCCACACUGCCAAGAAAAGCCUCUAGCGAGGUGAGAGGUGCCCGUACCGCAAACCGACACAGGUAGGCGAGGAGAGAAUCCUAAGGUGAUCGAGAGAACUCUCGUUAAGGAACUCGGCAAAAUGACCCCGUAACUUCGGGAGAAGGGGUGCUCUGUUAGGGUGCAAGCCCGAGAGAGCCGCAGUGAAUAGGCCCAGGCGACUGUUUAGCAAAAACACAGGUCUCUGCGAAGCCGUAAGGCGAAGUAUAGGGGCUGACGCCUGCCCGGUGCUGGAAGGUUAAGAGGAGCGCUUAGCGUAAGCGAAGGUGCGAAUUGAAGCCCCAGUAAACGGCGGCCGUAACUAUAACGGUCCUAAGGUAGCGAAAUUCCUUGUCGGGUAAGUUCCGACCCGCACGAAAGGCGCAACGAUCUGGGCACUGUCUCAACGAGAGACUCGGUGAAAUUAUAGUACCUGUGAAGAUGCAGGUUACCCGCGACAGGACGGAAAGACCCCGUGGAGCUUUACUGCAGCCUGAUAUUGAAUGUUGGUACAGCUUGUACAGGAUAGGUAGGAGCCUUGGAAACCGGAGCGCCAGCUUCGGUGGAGGCAUCGGUGGGAUACUACCCUGGCUGUAUUGACCUUCUAACCCGCCGCCCUUAUCGGGCGGGGAGACAGUGUCAGGUGGGCAGUUUGACUGGGGCGGUCGCCUCCUAAAAGGUAACGGAGGCGCCCAAAGGUUCCCUCAGAAUGGUUGGAAAUCAUUCGCAGAGUGUAAAGGCACAAGGGAGCUUGACUGCGAGACCUACAAGUCGAGCAGGGACGAAAGUCGGGCUUAGUGAUCCGGUGGUUCCGCAUGGAAGGGCCAUCGCUCAACGGAUAAAAGCUACCCCGGGGAUAACAGGCUUAUCUCCCCCAAGAGUCCACAUCGACGGGGAGGUUUGGCACCUCGAUGUCGGCUCAUCGCAUCCUGGGGCUGUAGUCGGUCCCAAGGGUUGGGCUGUUCGCCCAUUAAAGCGGUACGCGAGCUGGGUUCAGAACGUCGUGAGACAGUUCGGUCCCUAUCCGUCGCGGGCGCAGGAAAUUUGAGAGGAGCUGUCCUUAGUACGAGAGGACCGGGAUGGACGCACCGCUGGUGUACCAGUUGUUCUGCCAAGGGCAUCGCUGGGUAGCUAUGUGCGGACGGGAUAAGUGCUGAAAGCAUCUAAGCAUGAAGCCCCCCUCAAGAUGAGAUUUCCCAUUCCGCAAGGAAGUAAGAUCCCUGAAAGAUGAUCAGGUUGAUAGGUCUGAGGUGGAAGUGUGGCGACACAUGGAGCUGACAGAUACUAAUCGAUCGAGGACUUAACCAA
rnacentral:rRNA from 1 species